AAAACCUGAGAGACAGAAAAGAAAUUCUGACAUUUUUGUUAGGAAAGCAUUAUGAUCCUCUCAAAUCGAUCUCAAGAGAAGUGGGACCCAAGACUUUCAUUAAGCACAUGAAAUAGAGGACUUGGCAAAUCCUGGAGAGCAAAGUCCUGUGAGACAAUAGAAAAAAAAGAAAGAAAGAAAAUUUCCCAUCCCUAAAUACCAGUGUUUGUGUCACUUCGUGGUGUUGUUGUUCAAGGCAGAAUCAAUGAACCGAAUCAAACUUCUCUUGAAAAGUUAACUUAGAAAAGAACAGGUAUAUAUCCGGGAGUGGAUGUGCCGGCUCAUAGGGGAUGUUCGGCUUUCCAACAUGAUGCCAACAGUUUCCCACAGUGAUUGUAUCCACCUGUUCCCUUAAUGACAACGCGUUGGAGUUGCCACUGAUUGGACUCCUCGCCCAGGAGGUCUUGUAGAGCCUUCUUUAAUUUUGCCAAUCUGUUGAGUGUGAAACAAUGUCUUGUGUCUUUAAUUUAAAUUUUCUUGAUUACUGUUAAGGUUAAGUAUCUUCACAUAA